rnacentral:piRNA from 1 species
UACAUAGAGUCUCCACAAGCGGAGCCAGGU